rnacentral:rRNA from 1 species
GACGAACGCUGGCGGCGUGCUUAACACAUGCAAGUCGAACGGAAAGGCCCUGCUUUUGUGGGGUGCUCGCGUGGCGAAGGGGUGAGUAACACGUGAGUAACCUGCCCUGGACUUUGUGAUAACUUCAGGCAACUGGGGCUACUACCGGAUAGGAGCUCCUGCUGCAUGGUGGGGGUUGGACAGUUUCGGUGGUGGGGGAUGGACUCGCGGCUUAUCAGCUGGUUGGUGGGGUAGUGGCUUACCAAGCCUUUGACGGGUAGCCGGCCUGAGAGGUGGACCGGCCACAUUGGGACUGAGAGACGGACCAGACGCGAACGGGAGGCAGCGGUGGGGAAUAUUGCACAAUGGGGGGAAGUGUGAUGCAGAAACGCUGCGAGCGGGAAGACGGCCUAGGUGUUGUAAACCGCUUUCGCCUGUGACGAAGCGUGAGUGACGGUAAUGGGUAAAGAAGCACCGGCUAACUACGUG